ensembl:miRNA
UAGCUUGGUGCAAAAGUAAUUGUGGUUUUUGCCAUUGAAAGUAAUGGCAAUACCACAAUUGCUUUUGCAACAACCUAAUA